GACGAACGCUGGCGGCGUGCUUAACACAUGCAAGUCGAACGGAAAGGCCCUGCUUUUGUGGGGUGCUCGAGUGGCGAACGGGUGAGUAACACGUGAGUAACCUGCCCUUGACUUUGGGAUAACUUCAGGAAACUGGGGCUAAUACCGGAUAGGAGCUCCUGCUGAAUGGUGGGGGUUGGAAAGUUUCGGCGGUUGGGGAUGGACUCGCGGCUUAUCAGCUUGUUGGUGGGGUAGUGGCUUACCAAGGCUUUGACGGGUAGCCGGCCUGAGAGGGUGACCGGCCACAUUGGGACUGAGAUACGGCCCAGACUCCUACGGGAGGCAGCAGUGGGGAAUAUUGCACAAUGGGCGGAAGCCUGAUGCAGCAACGCCGCGUGCGGGAUGACGGCCUUCGGGUUGUAAACCGCUUUCGCCUGUGGCGAAGCGUGAGUGACGGUAAUGGGUAAAGAAGCACCGGCUAACUACGUG
rnacentral:rRNA from 1 species